UACAGAGGGUGCAAGCGUUAAUCGGAAUUACUGGGCGUAAAGCGCGCGUAGGUGGUUCAGUAAGUUGGAUGUGAAAUCCCCGGGCUCAACCUGGGAACUGCAUCCAAAACUGCUGAGCUAGAGUACGGUAGAGGGUAGUGGAAUUUCCUGUGUAGCGGUGAAAUGCGUAGAUAUAGGAAGGAACACCAGUGGCGAAGGCGACUACCUGGACUGGUACUGACACUGAGGUGCGAAAGCGUGGGGAGCAAACAGG
rnacentral:rRNA from 1 species